GUCAAUCAAACUAAUCAUUAUUGACCAAUGAGAAAGCUGCAAAUUGUUAACCGAGUCCCGUCCGCCAUCUUUACCCCCACACAGAGCAACGAUAACUGUUUACAACCGGACAUUUUAUUGAAGUUUUAAGACUUAUUUGUGAAUAUGGUUAAACGAUACGGAUGGGGAAUAUGUUAUGCGGAUGAACGGUAUCCGGAGGGACUAAAUGGAGGCCGAUUUAAACGAUUUCCGACCCAUAAUCCGUCAUUGAGAAGUGCAAAUGCUGUGUACGGCUACACGAGAAACUGAAUGUUAACAGGAUAAACCAGCACGAAGAUGUCUGCUCGAAGGUUAGUAAAUUAAAAUUUGGUUUUAUCGUAAAAUGAUCAAAAUAAAAUCAUUUCAAUUAUAAUUCUGAAUACUGCAAAUGUUUAUUUUGUUUACUUUAUUGUGUCCUAAAUAUUGACCUCCAUGGUCAUGCUAGUUGAAACCUUAAACAGUUUCCAUCAUGAAUGUGUCAAGUUUAAACUACUGUUUUAUUGUAUAAUAUGUUACUGACUGGCAUUGUGGAGUCUUGUCACACUAAUUAUAUCUUACUAUUAUGCAGAUUUAAGCACUUUCAUGGAGGAAAUGGACCAUCUAAGAGUAUCCUGACCCAUUAUCAGCUGAUGGCUGGAGAAUAACAUCUUCAAAAAAACACCCCACAAAGCGAUCACUUGGAAAGGAAUCUUAUGGCAGCAUUUAUACACAAAAUGCAAGUGUAUGCAUUUAAUACAAGAUAUCACAUGCCUAGAAAAGCUGGUCCAGGAUCCUGCAGGCACUGUAACAGGAGUAGAAACACAGACCGAAUGUCCAUGGACAUCACCUUUGGAUAUGUUUGCACUUACCGCUCAGAAUGCUUCCCUAAAAGAACAGUUGUCACAAAAAGAAGUCCAAGUUGAAGAAUUACAGUUUGCACUUUCAUCAAAGUGUUGUGAAAUUCAGAUUUUAAAGCAACUGGUGGGAUUAUAAACAAACUUUAAAUGUCGAUAUAGUUCUGCUGAAAGAAGCAAGAGUUAAAAUUUGUUUAAAUAUUAUACAGAAAUCAUAUGAUUUUAUUUCUGCUUCUUUGAUAUAAUUGAAUAACUGUUAGUUUAUUCAUGUUUGGAAUA